rnacentral:rRNA from 1 species
UCGUUAUAAACUCCUGUUUGCUAGCGAAGGAGCAGGUCUGGUUAGUUAAUUGACUUGUAUCCUUGUCGGUACACUAGACAGAAGACCACGCUAUCUUCGUGUGCAGCAGCGGCGUUAUUUAUGUUGGAUGGGCGCGCGUUUUCAUCAUUAUUUGGGGGUACAGCGCUCGCGCGCGUUUUUUUUUGUGUGAUAUGAAAACCCCCCGGCUUACCCCCGGAGGAGUCAUUUUUAAACUGGAGGAGUUGAGAGCAGAGGAGGAGAGGGUAAAUUCCUCUGUGUGGCGGGGAAAUGUGCGGAGAUAUGGAAGAAACAUCCGUGUCGAAGGCGCCUCUCUCGUGUGUGAUUGUCGCUGAGGAGUGAGAGCGUGUGUAGCGAACAGGAUAAUAUAUCCUGGUAUUGCACGCCCUAAAAGAGGAGUGUUAGGUGUGAUGGGGUCUCCGCCCCUUAGCUUUGAAAGUUAACCGCAUUAAAGCACUCCCCCCUGGGGAGUACGGCCCGCAAGGAUUAAAACUCAAAAGAAUUGACGGGGACCCCGCACCAGCGGUGGAGCAUGUGGUUUUAAUUUGAAGCAACGCGGAGAACCUUACCAGGUCUUGACAUCCUUUCGACCUCCCUAGAGAUAGGGAUUGCUUCGGGACGAAAGACCAUGUGGUGCAUGGUUGUCGUCAGCUCGUUCGAAAUAUUGUGUUAUAAGUCCCGCAACGAGCGCCCCCCUUGAUCUUAGUUGCCAGCAUUAAGUUGGGCACUCCAAGGUGACUGCCGGUGACAAACCGGAGGAAGGUGGGGAUGACGUCAAAUCAUCAUCCCCUUAUGACCUGGGCUACACACGUGCUACAAUGGAUCAUCAAAGGGCAGCGAAACUUCAAGGUCAAGCAAAUCCCAUAAAACCAGUUCAGUUCGGAUUUAGUUGCAAUCCCUACAUGAAGCUGGAACGCUAGUAAUUCGGGAUCACAAGCCGCGGUGAAUACGUUCCCCGGGUCCUUGUUCCAACAACCGGCCC